rnacentral:lncRNA from 1 species
AAGACCACAGUUUCCUGUCGCGUGGUUGUGUUUCCUCUCCGGCCAGUGCCAUCCGCCCAAAUCUACAGACAUCCCGCGUGUUCCCGGGCUGUCCGCUCGUCUCCCCUAUACAGGGCGCCAAGGCUGUAGACUGCGCAGCCCUUCUAGAGACAGACGGAAGCUCCGUGGGUUGACAGAUUACACCUUCUGGAGCCCCCUGUUCCCUUCAACUCCGUGAUGGGCAUCCACUGUCCAGGGAGAGGAUGCCUGGAAAUGACAGCCGGGGUCUACAGUGGCCAUAAGAGUUGUCCCCAUCUUGCUAGAUCGACAGACUGGUGCCCCCGACCGCUUGGGAAGGGUUUUCUCUCCGCCCUGUGACAACAGGCAAGAGUGGGGGCCCAACAAUACAGAGUAAGUGAUGUGUCACUUCUACUCUUCCAUGCCCAGUGCCAGGAGAGACGGUACACUCGAGUGCUGUGCCCUGGUGGGCCUUUGAACAGCCAGUGGCAGGUGCAGUGGAUCAUCAGCCCUGUCUCCCAAGAGCCUCGCCAGUCCCUUCUCCGGAGAGCAAGUGGCUCCACUGGCUGCUCCGGAGGCCAUAGCAGCCUUACAGAAGUGUGGAACUUUCUGGAAGCUGCACAAGUCAGUGCUGGGUCUUUGCAACUUGGUGUUCUGUUUCUAGAAACUUUGGGGUAUUUACAUGUGAUAGGUCAGCACAGAUAGAUUUCCAAUGGGUCCCUAGGAUUGUCACCUGUACUCAACAGUCCUCCUCGACUUUCCAGAAGAGGCUGGAACAGGGCCCUUGAAGAUGUUUGUGGACACCAGAGUGCCAAAGACCACGCUCAAAGUGAAACUGGAGACACCGCCCCCUCGGCAUCAUGAAACAGCUUUUUACUGUGCUUGGUCACUGGCUCAUACAUGGGAGAUUCCAGCAUACAAAGUCUUGACACCAACACCUCGGAGGGCUGUGUUCUGUCCCCAUGACCAUCUGCCAGUGCCUGGAAUGACUAAUGCCAAGAACUUGGUGCCAACUUCCUGUUACCUCCCUAACAGCUGUGCAAUAAAUCUCAUAGAUUAAUUCAGUCUGCCUUUUAAA